rnacentral:rRNA from 1 species
GACGAACGCUGGCGGCGUGCCUAAUACAUGCAAGUCGAACGCAGUGGGGACGGGUGAGUAACACGUGUGUAACCUCCCAUCAGAGGGGAUAACACUUGGAAACAGGUGCUAACCCGAAACUGAUGGAUGUACCCGCGGUUCAUUAGUUAGUGGGUGAGGUAACGGCUCACCAAGGCCACGAUGCAUAGCGGAUCUGAGUGGGUGUACGUAAACGCUGUGACUGAGACACGGACCAGAAUCCAACGGGAGGCAGCAGUGGGGAAUCUUAGGAAAUGGACGAAAGUCUGACCGAGCAACGCCGCGUGAGUGAAGAAGGUUUGCGGAUCGUAAAACUCUGUUAUUAGAGAAGCGGUAUCUAACCAGAAAGCCACGGCUAACUACGUGCCAGCAGCCGCGGUAAUUC